CCUACGGGGGGCAGCAGUGAGGAAUAUUGGUCAAUGGACGAGAGUCUGAACCAGCCAAGUAGCGUGAAGGAUGACUACCCUAUGGGUUGUAAACUUCUUUUAUAUGGGAAUAAAAUGUUCCACGUGUGGGAUUUUGUAUGUACCAUAUGAAUAAGGAUCGGCUAACUCCGUGCCAGCAGCCGCGGUAAUACGGAGGAUCCGAGCGUUAUCCGGAUUUAUUGGGUUUAAAGGGAGCGUAGGUGGAUUGUUAAGUCAGUUGUGAAAGUUUGCGGCUCAACCGUAAAAUUGCAGUUGAAACUGGCAGUCUUGAGUACAGUAGAGGUGGGCGGAAUUCGUGGUGUAGCGGUGAAAUGCUUAGAUAUCACGAAGAACUCCGAUUGCGAAGGCAGUUCACUGGACUGCAACUGACACUGAGGCUCGAAAGUGUGGGUAUCAAACAGGAUUAGAUACCCCUGUAGUC
rnacentral:rRNA from 1 species